rnacentral:rRNA from 1 species
GAUGAACGCUGGCGGCGUGCCUAAUACAUGCAAGUCGAGCGAACAGACGAGGAGCUUGCUCCUCUGACGUUAGCGGCGGACGGGUGAGUAACACGUGGAUAACCUACCUAUAAGACUGGGAUAACUUCGGGAAACCGGAGCUAAUACCGGAUAAUAUAUUGAACCGCAUGGUUCAAUAGUGAAAGACGGUUUUGCUGGCACUUAUAGAUGGAUCCGCGCCGCAUUAGCUAGUUGGUAAGGUAACGGCUUACCAAGGCAACGAUGCGUAGCCGACCUGAUAGGGUGAUCGGCCACACUGGAACUGAGACACGGUCCAGACUCCUACGGGAGGCAGCAGUAGGGAAUCGUCCGCAAUGGGCGAAAGCCUGACGGAGCAACGCCGCGUGAGUGAUGAAGGUCUUCGGAUCGUAAAACUCUGUUAUUAGGGAAGAACAAAUGUGUAAGUAACUAUGCACGUCUUGACGGUACCUAAUCAGAAAGCCACGGCUAACUACGUG